AACAUUCCAAGAUAUUUAUAAGCAAGAGCCACAGGAGCAUGAAUUCCUCAGAAUAUGUAGAAUUAUCUAGAUUUUAGCCUAUCUGACAAGUUUCUCUCCCUAUUACCAUAACAAAAGUCUUUUAAACCACUGUAUAAACUGAGAUAUUUAAGUUAAUCACCUGCCUUGCAAAGAACCUUGACUAAUGAGUAAAUAAAGUUCAGACAGUUGUAAAGGGAAGACGGGAUAGCUCUUUCACUGUAGAAAACAUUAUCAUUAUAUACUAUGUAACAGCGUGCAAAUAAUACAAAAUAAUAAUAUAAACUAUAGGCUAUUAGAUUACUAGUCCUUUGAAAAAUAUUUCUGGAAGGCCGGGCACGGUGGCAUUUUCUUUAAAAUGUUCUGCAUAUAUUUCCUAUAUGAUCAGACCUUUAAGCAAAAUAUCUGAUCUUCGGAAAUGCAAAGGGAUUUCUGGGUAUAGGAAAAGUCUUGUUUUCUUAUAAUUACAAAAUAUAUUUUCUACAUCAUAAACUGAUAGUAAGUAAGCAUAUCAUGUCCUUGUAACAACUAAACACUGGGGCAAAUAUACUGACUGAUAAGCCCUUAUGAAAGAAUACACAUUCAUGUUAUAAAAUAAAAUACAUCUAAAACCAUGGCCAAUAUUCAGCCAGGAAGUACCAGUCUGG
rnacentral:lncRNA from 10 species